rnacentral:tRNA from 1 species
UCCCAUAUGGUCUAGCAGCUAGGAUUCCUGGUUUUCACCCAGGCGGCCUGGGUUCGAUUCCUGGAAUAGGAA